AACAGGAAUGUCAAUAAUUUGUGUAACUAUGCACUCGACUCAAUGAUGAAAUCGAUCAGCUGUUCUCAGUUCUACCAACGCCUUCUCUUCAUGACUUUCAGGUUCUCACUCACCUGAGUCAUAGCAGGAGAAGACAUGCUCAUCAAGUGCCUGAGUUCUCCUACCAGAGUGAAUCCUGUCCUUCCAAGAACUGAAUGAGGAGACUGAGGUACAGAGAGAAAAUGCUGAAAGACUUGAAGAAGCUAUUUGAUAAACCACUGGGUAUGUUGGGAUCAGAAUCAUCAAUGCAGUUUAACCUUCUAACUUUCUGACCGUUGAUGAGUACCAGCCAAGAUGUUGGAUAUGCUGUCAUCCCUGUCUUCCUACCAUCUAUAUCUGGCCGUGCCAAUCAGCUCUCUCCUAUUAUCCAGGGGUAAUACUGAAAAUAAAACAAAACAAAAAGCUCCUUAAGGAUUUGUUUGCCCAAAUAGAAAACUUGAAAGUGCCUCUACAAAUUAUGACUUAGGAAGAUCAUUAGCAGUUCUGAUAGUGGUAAACACUUGUUUUGAAAUGAUGGCUAUGGGAUGGAUCUCUUAUGCUUAAAUGAUAGUUAAGGAAAUUGUCUGAGUUUUGAAAUACAAUGCAUCUUAUUGAUUAUAAGAAAAAAUGUUUGGGGGUGAUAACUCCACUGUGCUAAGUUUGCUGUUUGAAAUCUGUGUAGAUGGGGUCAGUUAAAUGUUUGAAGUAUUUGAAUUGAGUGUAUUUGAGUUGAUUAAAAUCCUCCUAAUCUCUGUCACUGAGGGACCUUACAGGGCUGCCCAGCUGGAAGUGGAGAAGUUACCUGGAAUAGGUCUGAGGGUCUAGUUCUUGAUAUCUAUCUUGGAAGAAUUUCUUGUGGCUAUUUCUUUUAAUACAGUUGGAGGAUUGUCCAUGUCUUUUGGGGCCUAGAGCCCAGUGACUACUCUGCCCCUCAGCUGUCACAGAGAACACAUGAGAAAGAGUUACGUUAGCCUGCUUUUCCUAUUAUUUCUCCCCACAUUCCUGGGCCAAGUUGGGAUC